GGGUCAGUAGGUUGGUCGUGCCACCGGUACGUACUGGUCUCACUGAUUCCUCCUUCCUGAAGAACCGUAAUGCCAUUAAUUUGGUGUUGCGGGGAAACAGGACUGUUACAUUGAAAAAAUUAGAGUGUUUAAAGCAAUCUAACGCUUGAAUACAUUAGCAUGGAAUAAUGAAAUAGGACGAUCGAUCCUAUUUUGUUGGUUUCUAGGAUUGACGUA
rnacentral:rRNA from 1 species